ACUCCUACGGGAGGCAGCAGUGAGGAAUAUUGGUCAAUGGUCGGAAGCCUGAACCAGCCAAGUAGCGUGCGGGAUGACGGCCCUAUGGGUUGUAAACCUCUUUUAUACAGGAAUAAAGUUAGCCACGUGUGGGCUUAUUUGCUAGGUACCUGUAUGAAUAAGGACCGGCUAAUUCCGUGCCAGCAGCCGCGGUAAU
rnacentral:rRNA from 1 species